AUUGAACGCUGGCGGCAUGCCUUACACAUGCAAGUCGAACGGCAGCACGGGAGCAAUCCUGGUGGCGAGUGGCGAACGGGUGAGUAAUAUAUCGGAACGUGCCCAGUCGUGGGGAUAACGUAGCGAAAGCUACGCUAAUACCGCAUACUAUCUAUGGAUGAAANCGGGGGAUCGCAAGACCUCGCGCGAUUGGAGCGGCCGAUAUCAGAUUAGGUAGUUGGUGAGGUAAAGGCUCACCAAGCCGACGAUCUGUAGCUGGUCUGAGAGGACGACCAGCCACACUGGGACUGAGACACGGCCCAGACUCCUACGGAGGCAGCAGUGGGGAAUAUUGGACAAUGGGCGAAAGCCUGAUCCAGCAAUGCCGCGUGAGUGAUGAAGGCCUUA
rnacentral:rRNA from 1 species